rnacentral:rRNA from 1 species
UGGGGAAUAUUGGACAAUGGGCGCAAGCCUGAUCCAGCAAUGCCGCGUGGGUGAAGACGGCCUGCGGGUUGUAAAGCCCUUUAGGCGGGGAGGAACGGUGGGGUGCGAAUACCACUUCACGCUGACGUUACCCGCAGAAUAAGCACCGGCUAACUCCGUGCCAGCAGCCGCGGUAAUACGGAGGGUGCGAGCGUUAAUCGGAAUUACUGGGCGUAAAGCGUGCGUAGGCGGUUUGGUCAGUCAGCCGUGAAAGCCCCGGGCUUAACCUGGGAACGGCGGUUGAGACGGCCCGACUCGAGUGGGCUAGAGGAUCGUGGAAUUCCGGGUGUAGCGGUGAAAUGCGUAGAGAUCCGGAGGAACACCGAUGGCGAAGGCAGCGGUCUGGGGCCACACUGACGCUGAGGCACGACGGCGUGGGGAGCAAACAGG